rnacentral:rRNA from 1 species
AUUGAACGCUGGCGGCAGGCCUAACACAUGCAAGUCGAACGCGUGGCGCACGGGUGAGUAAUGUCUGGGAAACUGCCCGAUGGAGGGGGAUAACUACUGGAGACGGUAGCUAAUACCGCAUACCAUCGGAUGUGCACAGAUGGGAUUAGCUCGGAGGUGGGGUAACGGCUCACCUAGGCGACGAUCCCUAGCUGGUCUGAGAGGAUGACCAGCGACACUGGAACUGAGACACGGUCCAGGCUCCUACGGGAGGCAGCAGUGGGGAAUAUUGGACAAUGGGCGCAAGCCUGAUGCAGCCAUGCCGCGUGUAUGAAGAAGGCCUUCGGGUUGUAAAGUACUUUCAGCGGGGAGGCGUUACCCGCAGAAGAAGCACCGGCUAACUCCGUGCCAGCAGCCGCGGUAAUUC